UACGGGGGGGGCAAGCGUUGUUCGGAAUUACUGGGCGUAAAGGGCUCGUAGGCGGCCCACUAAGUCAGACGUGAAAUCCCUCGGCUUAACCGGGGAACUGCGUCUGAUACUGGAGGGCUUGAGUUCGGGAGAGGGAUGCGGAAUUCCAGGUGUAGCGGUGAAAUGCGCAGAUAUCAGGAAGAACACCCGUGGCGAAGGCGGUUCUCUGGAACGCAACUGACGCUGAGACGCGAAAGCGUGGGGAGCAAACAGG
rnacentral:rRNA from 1 species